rnacentral:rRNA from 1 species
UACGUAGGGUGCAGGCGUUAAUCGGAAUUACUGGGCGUAAAGCGUGCGCAGGCGGUUUGCUAAGACAGGUGUGAAAUCCCCGGGCUUAACCUGGGAACUGCGCUUGUAACUGGCAAGCUAGAGUGUGGCAGAGGGGGGUGGAAUUCCAGGUGUAGCAGUGAAAUGCGUAGAUAUCUGGAGGAACACCGGUGGCGAAGGCGGCAUCCUGGACCGGUAUUGACGCUGAGGCGCGAAAGCCAGGGGAGCAAACGGG